UACGGAGGGUGCAAGCGUUAAUCGGAAUUACUGGGCGUAAAGCGCACGUAGGUGGUUUUCUAAGCCAGAUGUGAAAGCCCCGGGCUUAACCUGGGAACUGCGUUUGAAACUGGGAGACUUGAGUGUGGCAGAGGGGGGUGGAAUUCCGACGUGUAGCAGUGAAAUGCGUAGAUAUGUGGAGGAACACCAAUGGCGAAGGCAGCCCCCUGGGUCAACACUGACGCCUCAUGCACGAAAGCGUGGGGAGCAAACAGG
rnacentral:rRNA from 1 species